GGACUUAGGUUAGCACAAACCAAGGGCCUUCAAAGCCCCAAACAAGAGACCACUCUUAGCCCCUG
rnacentral:tRNA from 1 species